UUGUCCUACGGGAGGCAGCAGUGGGGAAUAUUGCACAAUGGGGGAAACCCUGAUGCAGCGACGCCGCGUGGGUGAAGAAGUACUUCGGUACGUAAAGCCCUAUCAGCAGGGAAGAAAAUGACGGUACCUGAUUAAGAAGCCCCGGCUAACUACGUGCCAGCAGCCGCGGUAAUACGUAGGGGGCAAGCGUUAUCCGGAUUUACUGGGUGUAAAGGGAGCGUAGACGGUCCUGCAAGCCAGAUGUGAAAGCCCGGGGCGCAACC
rnacentral:rRNA from 1 species